GCACUCAGUCUCUAUACCCCCUUUUUCUCUGCUUGACUCCUGCUUUCCCCGUCUCCCUCCUCGCCUCACUCUUCUUUGCACCAAGCAGCUCGAUUUAGGGCUUCACCAUUUCUCUUCGAAUCAAGGUCUCUAUUUCUCUCCCUAUUUUCCCAAUCUAGGUUUCCCUCUCUCUCUGUGGAAAAACCCUAGAUCUCGCCACUGCCGCAGAGUCCAAGCUCAGCCUUUUCGAGCUUCAAUCUACCGUGCCGAUCAUCUCCUCGCGGUGCUUCCACCUAUACCCCUCUGCAAGCAAGCAAAAUUUGCUUCUUGAGCAGUAUGUUCAGGGGACAUGCAUCGUAUUUUUCAUGUAAAAUCAAGACAAAAAUGGAUUUUCUAUCACAUUGGACUUAAAAAAGUAAAUUAGGUCAAACCAAUACCAGCUAAGCGUACAUGCUUGCUUCCUCUUCGUGUUCUCCCACAAUUUGUGCCCUUACUUCUCAAUUGGAUUCACAGUAAAACCCCAAAAACUUGAGGUACGAAAAUUUCAAUUUUUUUAUUGUUUGUGUUUUUGAUUUAUUUUUAGUGUUAAUUUCUGAUUAAAUUAUUAUUUUUGAUAAACCCAUUUAGAAUCUGAUCUGGGUUUUACCCGGAUAAAACCUUGACAGUUUGAAACUUUAAGGAAUAAAAAUUUCAAUUUUUUUUGUUUAUAUUUAAUAGUAUUCUGGGUUUUGCAGAAAUGCUAUUCUUGCUGAAGACCUGCCCUGUAAGUGAUUUAAUUUUUUCUUUUCGAAUUUCUACUUCUCAUGGAUAAUUAUGAAUAUGUAGAUGAUUUGUGGAUAAUUUUUUUUACUUAAUCUCCAAUUCAAAGUGAAGGAUAUUGAAUUUUGUUAUCAUUUUAGUUAAAAUGUGUUACUGUUUUAGUUAAAUUUAAUCCCUAAUUGAACUGACUAAUUUUUAGUGCAGUUUGGGCAUGAUCUUUCCUCAGAUCAUCGUCACUUCUAUUAAACUCAGUUAGGUUCUAUAACACCAGUAUAUGAGUUGUUAUUUCGGAUUUGUAAUUUGAACGAAACCCUAAUGGUUUGGUUUUGCGGAGAGUUGUGGCAGUUUGUCGAGGCUUUACCAGCUAAAGUGGAUUUUGCAUUUGGUUCCCUCUGGUGACAAAUCUGAGAUUUCACAGGAGAUGGAAGGCUGCUGGUUGUUUGGGUAUGCUCUCCCUGCUUCCACUUCUUGCUUAUUGUGUAUGUAUUUCUUAUUUGAAUAAGUGGGUUUGUGCUUUUGUUUUUUAAGUUUCAUUUGUGUGAUUUUAUUUCAAUCGAUAUUAUCUUUGAGAAGGCAGGAUGCUUUGACCAAUUAUUUCUUGCUUUUGAGUGAUUUCAUUUAGAUGGAUUCCUUAAAAAUUGAGAAGGCAGAUGAGCUUUCAUCAUUUGUUUAUUGGAAAUUGAUAAUAUAUGCAUUUCUUAUGUGAAUAAGUGGGUUUGUGUUUUCCUUUUUUCCUGAUUAACUUCUUAGCUUUUCAAAAUUAAUAUACUUUACUGCCCACACAUGUUUUUCAGCUAACCUGCUCAAUUAGUUUCGACUAUAGUUUGCUUUGUGCUGGAUGUUAAAGGUUUCUCUUCAAUGAUUAUAUAUAGCUUCAGUAGUGGGUUUCUUUGUGCUGGAUGUUAAAGGUUUCUCUUCAAUGAUUAUAUAUAGCUUCAGUAGUGGGUUUCUUUGGUUCAUGUCGUACAUGGUGAUUAACCAUGUUUUUCAAGGUGGCUCACCUUCUUUAAUUGCAGGUUCGACAGAAAGUUGAAGAACACAUAUGAUCACCUACUUUUUACGAGGUCUUGCUCAUACUUAAUUGUUUAUUUUAGCAUAGAUUUAACUAUAACUCCUUACUUUUAGGGUAUGUGUAUGUGUAUAUAUAUGUAUGUGUGUGUAUAUAUGGGUUGCACAGAUGCUCAGAUAUGCCACCCAAACCUAAGCAUGAGAACACUUUGCUGUUCAUUUUUUGGGGCUUUUGUCUGCAGCUUUCGAAGCCCUUUAUGCUCAAGCAGGAACCGCAAUGCAGAUGGGGAACACAUAUAAAUUCAGCGUUAUUCUAGCCAAAAACCUUUAUUCUCACAACAUUGGGUACGAUUGUUAAAAGUUCCAGUUCAUUGUACCUAAAUUGAAACAAUUUACUAUUAACACUAACUUUUUUAUAUUUUAAACAAGAUAUUUCAUGAAUUUUGUAAUCCCGCAGCAAUGUACGGGUGGUACUUUCUAGUAACACCUAAACUUAUUAAUUAAAAAGAAAUUACAAAAAA